AAGCUAAGUUAUCUACUUUCAUUCUUCUUCUACUUCAGUUUCUAGUUGUUAAACGUGGGGGUUCUCAUGAUUCGAUGUUCUAAGGUGGAAUCAUGGAAGAAGGUAGAGCAUUGAAGUCAAGCUUACCUUGAGAAUGCUUGGCAGAGAAGGAGUGCAGAUUCCUGCCGUUGCUGCUAAGUGUUGAAUGGAGAGAGUGGUGGUUUGAGGAGUGAAGUGUGGAGUUUAAACUAGAAGGCUGUAUUGUUGGAGUGUGAGAAGUGCAGCAGGCUCAAGAGAAGGGGAAAAUAGGGGAGUGUGCAGCUGCUGCAGCACAUGUCUCCACACCCUUUUCCUUUUUCCCAUUUUCUUAAACUUGGGUGUUGUGGCAGGGGUGAAGUGUUUACUGCCGCUACAGUUGCUGCAGAAAAAAGGGGAGGGGACGCAGCUGAUCUUAUUCUCCCCUCUCUCCUUAUAUUAUUUCUUUUGUUGCAGGUGGUAGAAUAGAGUUGUAGUAUACAUGUAGGGUUGUAAGGUUUGUAAUGGUAAGGGAUUAAAAGUUGUGAAGUGAUUUAACUAAAAUCCUUCAGUGUUGGUCGUUCUGUAUUAGAACUUUGGUAUCGAGUUUUUCUAAUGUCGAGCACUUGUAUUCAGAUACAGAUUAAUCGAAUAAUUCUUGUAUCUGAUAUC